rnacentral:rRNA from 1 species
CCCCGCGCUCAACCCGGGGAGGGUCAUUUGGAAACUGGGGAACUUGAGUGCAGAAGAGGGGGAGGGGGAAUUUCCACGUGUACGCGGUGAAAUGCGUAGAGAUGUGGAGGAACACCAGUGGCGAAGGGCGACUCUCUGGUCUGUAACUGACGCUGAGGCGGCGAAAGCGUGGGGAGCGAACAGGAUUAGAUACCCUGGUAGUCCACGCCGUAAACGAUGAGUGCUAAGUGUUAGAGGGUUUCCGCCCUUUAGUGCUGCAGCAAACGCAUUAAGCACUCCCCCUGGGGAGUACGGUCGCAAGACUGAAACUCAAAGGAAUUGACGGGGGCCCGCCCAAGCGGUGGAGCAUGUGGUUUAAUUCGAAGCAACGCGAAGAACCUUACCAGGUCUUGACAUCCUUUGACAACCCUAGAGAUAGGGCUUCCCCUUCGGGGGCAGAGUGACAGGUGGUGCAUGGUUGUUGUCAGCUCGUGUCGUGAGAUGUUGGGUUAAGUCCCGCAACGAGCGCAACCCUUGAUCUUAGUUGCCAGCAUUCAGUUGGGCACUCUAAGGUGACUGCCGGUGACAAACCGGAGGAAGGUGGGGAUGACGUCAAAUCAUCAUGCCCCUUAUGACCUGGGCUACCCACUUGCUUCAAUGGGCAGAACAAAGGGCAGCGAAGCCGCGAGGCUAAGCCAAUCCCCCAAA